rnacentral:misc_RNA from 1 species
ACCAAAAUCAGUCCCAUUCACAGUUAGCCCACAGGCAAAUAGUGCUAAUGCGUUCAAGGUGAACAUAAUAACAAUGUACUUGUAGAAUGCAGGCCUUGCAGGUAAUCUUUCCCUCCACUUGGAAUGGUACAUGAACAAUAUGAAGCCAUAAACUGCAGUUAGUACUAGCCUGUGGACAACCCACAAGCUCCACUUCAUGUGAUGUUGCUGCUCAUUGCUGUCAAUGAACAAAGGGAUCCCAAGUCCAAACAUAUAUAUUGCCUUGAGGAGUAUGUCCAAACCAACAAUGAGCGCUGAUACAGCAAAUGUCCGUGUCAAAGCUUCCAAACCACUUGCAUAAUUUCCUUGGAGUAAAAAGGCAAUCAAGCUUACUUCCAAAAACAGCAUUCCAGAUGUUGUAAACAAAGAUAAGAUAUUCCAUGUCAAUUCUUUUCCAGCAGUGCACUCCCAUGCCUGAAAGCAGCACCAAGAGAGAUUAAGCAAGCUAACGAGCCAAAGACACCCAUAAUAAGCGAUCAUUAUAUAAGAUCUCCCGUGGGAUAGCUUCGUUACACUCUUUUUGGCCUGAAAUGCCAAGUAUAGUACAAAAGCAAGAGAAGCCAAUAUGAGAGUGACAUUGUGCAUGAACCCAUGGCACUCGAAGAGCCAAUUGUGCAAUCCCGAGCCAAGCAAGCCACUUUCUUUAAGAGACGAAUUAGG